GACGAACGCUGGCGGCGUGCCUAAUACAUGCAAGUCGAGCGAGCUUGCCUAGAUGAUUUUAGUGCUUGCACUAAAUGAAACUAGAUACAAGCGAGCGGCGGACGGGUGAGUAACACGUGGGUAACCUGCCCAAGAGACUGGGAUAACACCUGGAGACAGAUGCUAAUACCGGAUAACAACACUAGACGCAUGUCUAGAGUUUGAAAGAUGGUUCUGCUAUCCCUCUUGGAUGGACCUGCGGUGCAUUAGCUAGUUGGUAAGGUAACGGCUUACCAAGGAAAUGAUGCAUAGCCGAGUUGAGAGACUGAUCGGCCACAUUGGGACUGAGACACGGCCCAAACUCCUACGGGAGGCAGCAGUAGGGAAUCUUCCACAAUGGACGAAAGUCUGAUGGAGCAACGCCGCGUGAGUGAAGAAGGGUUUCGGCUCGUAAAGCUCUGUUGGUAGUGAAGAAAGAUAGAGGUAGUAACUGGCCUUUAUUUGACGGUAAUUACUUAGAAAGUCACGGCUAACUACGUGCCAGCCGCCGCAGUAACAC
rnacentral:rRNA from 1 species